AGCUUAAUGAUGAUUAUCUUUUUGAUUGCUCGAAGCAAAGUGAAAAACACAUUUCACCGGCUCUGAAAGCU
rnacentral:snoRNA from 12 species